rnacentral:misc_RNA from 1 species
UUAAUUGGUCGCUAUCGAUCGGGCUAUAGCUUCACACAUACAUUUAUGUUUGGUUAUAUAUUUUGUUUGGCUGGAGGUUUAUUUAUACUUACGAACUUUGUUAAAUACUCUACAUGAUUAAUUGGCAAAGGUUGUCCGCAAUUGAAUGCACAAAUGGACGAAGACGGAAUUCACCGGCUUGAAGGGACAUCUGGCAAUGAACGAGGGGGCUUAAUAGUGAAAAAGAGACAGGAACCUACAUUUAAAGUGCCGAAACCCUCGCUUUUGGGUCUUGAUCGACUAGCAGCCCUAAAGCGCAAAGAAAAACAGGAUGCUGCUCGAAAAAUUUCAUUUUCAAUAGAUGAUGACAGCCCUGAAGCGAGUUCUAAAGUUUGGCCAAGGUCAGGAAAAGAGCGUAAAUACAGAUCAUCUGAGGUUGAGACACCUACCUAUACAGGAGGUGUUAGUCGUGAAGCAAAAGAACGAUUUCAAGAACGGGAGAAGCAAAGGUUUAAAGAAAAAGGUGUAUAUGCAACAACAAAAGAACAUAGAAGGCAUAAUAAUAUUAAGGAUCUGGAGAGGGAUAAACAUAGAAGACAUGGAGAUAGAGAUGGUGGUAGAGAUAGAGAGAGCAAACAUCCAGACAAAGAUAGAAAAAGCAGUUCUCAUAGAGAAAGAACACUAAAAUUUAGAGAUGAACCCAAGACCCCAAACAUAAAACUAAAAGAUUCCGUUUCAAAAAGCACAUGGGAUGAAGAUGAGGAAUCCCCUCCUAGCAAAAGAUCUAGUUGGGAUUUUCCUACUCCCAAUGUUUACAAAAAAACCGAUGGAAAUUGGUCGGAAAUAAGUUCAGGAUCAAGAAAUCUUGGGGAAUCUUCUAGAAGGGAUGAUGAAAAAAAUAAAAGUUGGAGAGAAUGGAGGGGAAUCAGACGAUAUGUGGAUGACAGUGAAAGGGCUACUCCAGCCCAUAAGUACAAUGCCUGGAUGAAGGAUCGAAAAAAAACUGGAGCAACACCUGGUUUGAACGAAGAACAGGUGAAAUGGGAUGCCACAGAAGAUAGAGAAAACUGGGAGGAAGAACAGAAACGGCUUGACCGAGAAUGGUAUAAUAUGGGUGAAGGAUAUGAUGAUGAAAACAAUCCAUUUUCCAGCGUAAGCGAUGAAUACACUAAAAAAAAAGAAGAGCAGUUGGAGCAAAGAAGGAAAAAACGACUUAGCGCCCAACAACGACAAAUAAACAAGGAUAAUGAGCUCUGGGAGAGAAAUAGAAUGCUAACUUCAGGUGUGGUACAUUCGGUAGACUACAACGAGGAUUUUGAUGAAGAAUCGGUUGACAGAGUACAUUUGUUAGUGCAUAACAUUGUUCCACCAUUUCUUGAUGGGAGGAUUGUCUUUACUAAGCAACCUGAACCAGUUAUACCAGUGAGAGAUCCUACUUCUGACAUGGCCAUGGUAGCCAGGAAGGGAUCCCAUUUGGUGAGAGUUUUUAGGGAACAAAAAGAAAGGAAGAAGGCUCAGAAAAAACACUGGGAAUUAGGUGGUACGAAAAUGGGAAACAUUAUGGGCAUUAAGAAAAAAGAAGAUGAAGAAGAAAAAAAGUUUAAUAAAGAGGACGACUGCACUGAUUACAAGGCCGACCACAAAUUUGCUGAACACAUGAAGAGGCCUGGAGAAGCAUCAAGUGACUUUGCCCGGAAAAAAUCAAUUGCUGAACAAAGGCGUUAUCUGCCAGUAUUUGCUGUAAGGCAGGAACUUCUUAAUGUCAUUAGGGAAAACAAUGUUGUCAUCAUAGUGGGUGAAACUGGUAGUGGUAAGACCACCCAAUUAACGCAGUACCUUCAUGAGGACGGUUAUAGCAAGUAUGGUAUGAUUGGAUGCACUCAGCCAAGAAGAGUAGCUGCCAUGUCAGUAGCCAAAAGAGUAAGUGAUGAAAUGGGCACAAAUUUAGGAGAUGAAGUGGGGUAUGCUAUCAGAUUUGAGGACUGCACAUCUGAGAGUACAGUUAUUAAAUACAUGACUGACGGUAUCCUAUUACGUGAGAGCUUAAGAGAACCAGACCUUGACCACUACAGUGCGAUUAUAAUGGACGAAGCGCAUGAAAGAUCACUUAGCACAGAUGUGCUUUUUGGUUUGUUACGGGAGAUAGUGGCCAGGAGACAUGAUUUAAAACUAAUUGUGACGUCAGCUACAAUGGACAGUAGCAAGUUUUCCAUGUUUUUUGGAAAUGUACCCACAUUUACUAUACCAGGUAGGACUUUUCCUGUAGAAACCUUAUACAGUAAAAAUCCAGUAGAAGAUUACGUGGAUGCAGCUGUAAAACAGGCUCUACAGAUUCAUUUACAGCCGCCCUCCGGGGACAUAUUAAUAUUUAUGCCUGGACAGGAAGAUAUUGAGGUUUCAUGUGAGAUUUUAGCAGAACGGCUUGCAGAAAUUGAAAAUGCGCCGGAAUUAUCAAUUUUGCCAAUUUACUCUCAGUUACCAUCGGAUUUACAAGCGAAAAUUUUUCAACGCUCUCCGGAAGGAAUCAGGAAAUGCGUGGUUGCAACGAAUAUUGCUGAAACGUCUCUAACCGUCGAUGGUAUUAUUUUUGUUAUCGAUAGCGGGUAUUGCAAAUUAAAAGUUUACAAUCCUAGGAUCGGUAUGGAUGCUUUGCAGAUCUACCCAAUAUCUCAAGCAAACGCCAACCAGCGUUCCGGUCGAGCUGGUCGUACAGGACCAGGCCAAGCAUUUCGCCUUUAUACAGAACGCCAGUAUAAAGAUGAACUUUUAAUAACAACGGUACCGGAAAUCCAGCGCACCAACUUGGCCAAUACGGUACUUCUUCUAAAAUCUCUUGGAGUCCAGGAUCUGUUACAGUUUCAUUUUAUGGAUCCUCCGCCGCAGGAUAAUAUUCUAAAUUCCUUAUAUCAGUUAUGGAUUUUAGGUGCAUUAGAUCAUACAGGCGUUUUAACCAAGUUGGGUAGACAAAUGGCAGAAUUCCCUCUUGAUCCUCCUCAGUGCCAAAUGUUGAUUGUAUCUACACAAAUGGGAUGCACUGCUGAAAUUUUAGUUAUUGUUUCAAUGUUGUCUGUACCUUCCAUAUUUUAUAGACCCAAAGGUCGUGAGGAAGAAUCUGAUGGUGUGAGGGAGAAGUUCCAGGUACCAGAAAGCGACCAUCUAACCUUUCUAAACGUAUAUAACCAGUGGAAACAAAAUGGAUAUUCCUCGCACUGGUGCAAUGAACAUUUUAUCCACAUUAAAGCAAUGAGAAAAGUAAGGGAAGUUAGACAGCAGCUCAAAGAUAUUGUUGUGCAGCAGAAGUUAGAGAUCAAAUCUUGUGGAACCGAUUGGGAUGUUGUUAGAAAAUGCAUAUGUAGUGCUUACUUCCAUCAAGCGGCUCGAUUAAAAGAGGAGUUUUUACAUUGACAAUUUUCCACCAUGUCCAAAUAAUACUAAUAAAGUGUGCUAUGUCGUGUGAAAAGGGUACAUCAUGAACAACAUUUUUGAGAGCCUCUAUCAUAAAAGGAUUAAAAAUUUUGAGAGCUAACUUAACAUUUUGCCUUUCAAUAGAUGAUGGAAACAAAGCUUCUAAACUAGGGAUAAUAACGCCCGACCUGGCCAUACUGAGUAUCUGGAAUCGGACGGCAUUAAUCGUUUAGACUGGCCUGCAUUAUCGCCAGACAUUAAUCCCAUAGAACAUGCUUGAGACAUGCUUUCCAGGGCAGUGUCAGCACACAGAAACGCGCCGAGCAAAUAUGCUGCUUGGGAAGAACGGCACAAUAUUCCUCUACAGAAUAUCUUCAAUUUCAGAGACAGUAUGGGCAGACAUCUCCAAGCUUCCAUAAACGCUAAAGAUUGAAAUAAACAGUAUUAAAAAUUUAGUCCAGUACCUCUAUUAAGAAAAGCUAUCAAUGUGUAUUAAAAAAUAACCCUAUAUUUUAGAAAAAAAUGUUAAGAGUAAUAAUUUUCGUCUUACAAGCA